GCAGAGCGUUCAUUGGAGGAUGAGGAGGCUGAGGGAGAUACUGGGAAGAGCCAAGCUGGGAGUUGCCCCAUGCCUGGGCCCAGGCGCAGCCUUGAGCACACACUGCAGCUGGUGGAAAGGAGGCUCCAGCACAUGACCUGGCACCUGAUGAGCAAUGUGAUCCCGUCCAGACCUGCAUGUCCUGCACCAUCCUGGAUCUCCGAGGAACCCGAGGAAAUGGAGGACCCUGACGCUGCCUUUGUGCACCCCUCGGGAUUCCCGUGCAGCCCUGUGGGUCUCGCACCCGCUGCCCGCUCUGCCUGAGAAGCCGCCACAGCGUGAGGAGGCCGAGGCCGUGAAGACAGAGGAGCCUGGAUCCGACCUGGGCCAACCCGCGUCCCAUGCUGACGCCAGUCUGGAGCCUUCUUUCCAGCAGGGGAGCCCAGAGACACAGCCGCCACCGGCCUGCGGGUCCCAGGGGAUGGCUCCGUGUGGGAAAGAGACUCCCUCAGCCACCCAGGCCCAUCCUCAGGGGAAGCCUUGCAGCGCAGCUGAGCCAGAGAAGGGCCCAGAGCACCGCCACCACCCCCCGAACCCUGCAGGCCACUGGGGUGCAUCAGCCUGCAGUGGAAGCUGCACCUCCUGGCCCCAGAGCCUCCGAGCAAGCAGGAUCCUGCAGACACAACCAUGUUGCCAGGGGAAGCCAGCACCAAGGUCCCAGACCCGUCUGAGGAUGUUUGUGCUUCCCAGGAGGCGUUGAAGCGGCACCUCGCAAAGGAAGCGGCUGCAGGAGGUGACUGAGGAGCCAGGCCCGGCCUCUUGCCGAAUGCCCCCAGGGGCAGAGACUGACCCAGGAAAGAAGGACCUGUCCCACCUGUGGGGCACCACCAAUGAAGGUGCAACCAGCAGCAUCAGAUGCCUCCUUCCCACCUGGGUGAGAGGUCACUGU